rnacentral:piRNA from 1 species
UGAAAAGGUUUUCAGAAGGAGGCUGUGUUU